GUGGGGAAUAUUGGACAAUGGGCGCAAGCCUGAUCCAGCCAUGCCGCGUGAGUGAUGAAGGCCCUAGGGUUGUAAAGCUCUUUCACCGGUGAAGAUAAUGACGGUAACCGGAGAAGAAGCCCCGGCUAACUUCGUGCCAGCAGCCGCGGUAAUACGAAGGGGGCUAGCGUUGUUCGGAAUUACUGGGCGUAAAGCGCACGUAGGCGGACAUUUAAGUCAGGGGUGAAAUCCCAGAGCUCAACUCUGGAACUGCCUUUGAUACUGGGUGUCUUGAGUAUGGAAGAGGUAAGUGGAAUUCCGAGUGUAGAGGUGAAAUUCGUAGAUAUUCGGAGGAACACCAGUGGCGAAGGCGGCUUACUGGUCCAUUACUGACGCUGAGGUGCGAAAGCGUGGGGAGCAAACAGGAUUAGAUACCCGGGUAGACC
rnacentral:rRNA from 1 species